AUACGUAGGUGGCAAGCGUUGUCCGGAAUUAUUGGGCGUAAAGCGCGCGCAGGCGGUCCUUUAAGUCUGAUGUGAAAGCCCACGGCUCAACCGUGGAGGGUCAUUGGAAACUGGAGGACUUGAGUGCAGAAGAGGAAAGUGGAAUUCCAAGUGUAGCGGUGAAAUGCGUAGAGAUUUGGAGGAACACCAGUGGCGAAGGCGACUUUCUGGUCUGUAACUGACGCUGAGGCGCGAAAGCGUGGGGAGCAAACAGGAUUAGAUACCCUGGUAGUCCACGCCGUAAACGAUGAGUGCUAAGUGUUGGGGGGUUUCCGCCCCUCAGUGCUGCAGCUAACGCAUUAAGCACUCCGCCUGGGGAGUACGGUCGCAAGACUGAAACUCAAAUGAAUUGGCGGGG
rnacentral:rRNA from 1 species